rnacentral:rRNA from 1 species
GGUCAGGAUAACGCCGGCGGCGUGCCUAAUACAUGCAAGUCGAAUGGUAGUAGCAAUACAAACCAUGGCGAACGGGUGAGUAACACGUAGGUAACCUGUCUUUAAGACGAGGAUAACCGUUGGAAACGACGGAUAAUACUGGAUAGGACAUUAUAUGGGGCAUCCCAAAAUGUUUAAAGAUUAUUAUGUCACUUAGAGAGGGGCCUGCGGCGCAUUAGCUAGUUGGUGAGAUAACAGCCCACCAAGGCGAUGAUGCGUAGCCGGACUGAGAGGUUGAACGGCCACAAUGGGACUGAGAACGGCCCAUACUCCUACGGGAGGCAGCAGUAGGGAAUUUUCGGCAAUGGGCGCAAGCCUGAACCCGAGCAACGCCGCGUGAACGAAGAAGUUAUUCGUAAUGUAAAGUUCUUUUAUCUGGGAAGAAAAAACAAAUUGACUGUACCAGAUGAAUAAGCUCCGGCUAACUACGUGCCAGCCGCCGC